UGUGGGAGCGGGCUUGCUCGCGAUGCAAGCGACCCGGUCUUCAGGUUGGACCGCAGUGAUGCUAUCGCGAGCAAGCCCGCUCCCACA
rnacentral:misc_RNA from 1 species